rnacentral:rRNA from 1 species
GACGUAGGGCGCGAGCGUUGUCCGGAUUUAUUGGGCGUAAAGAGCUCGUAGGCGGCUUGUUACGUCGACUGUGAAAACCCGCGGCUCAACCGUGUGGUCUGCAGUCGAUACGGGCAGGCUAGAGUUCGGUAGGGGAGACUGGAGUUCCUGGUGUAGCGGUGAAAUGCGCAGAUAUCAGGAGGAACACCGGUGGCGAAGGCGGGUCUCUGGGCCGAUACUGACGCUGAGGAGCGAAAGCGUGGGGAGCGAACAGG